rnacentral:rRNA from 1 species
GAUGAACGCUGGCGGCGUGCCUAAUACAUGCAAGUCGAGCGAACAGACGAGGAGCUUGCUCCUUCGACGUUAGCGGCGGACGGGUGAGUAACACGUAGGUAACCUACCUAUAAGACUGGGAUAACUUCGGGAAACCGGAGCUAAUACCGGAUAAUAUUUCGAACCGCAUGGUUCGAUAGUGAAAGAUGGCUUUGCUAUCACUUAUAGAUGGACCUGCGCCGUAUUAGCUAGUUGGUAAGGUAACGGCUUACCAAGGCAACGAUACGUAGCCGACCUGAGAGGGUGAUCGGCCACACUGGAACGGAGCCACGGUCCAGACUCCUACGGGAGGCAGCAGUAGGGAAUCUUCCGCAAUGGGCGAAAGCCUGACGGAGCAACGCCGCGUGAGUGAUGAAGGUCUUCGGAUCGUAAAACUCUGUUAUGAGGGAAGAACAAACGUGUAAGUAACUGUGCACGUCUUGACGGUAACUAAUCAGAAAGCCACGGCUAACUACGUG